rnacentral:rRNA from 1 species
AGAGUUUGAUCCUGGCUCAGGACGAACGCUGGCGGCGUGCCUAAUACAUGCAAGUAGAACGCUGAAGACUUUAGCUUGCUAAAGUUGGAGAGUUGCGAACGGGUGAGUAACGCGUAGGUAACCUGCCUACUAGCGGGGGAUAACUAUUGGAAACGAUAGCUAAUACCGCAUAACAGCAUUUAACACAUGUUAGAUGCUUGAAAGGAGCAAUUGCUUCACUAGUAGAUGGACCUGCGUUGUAUUAGCUAGUUGGUGAGGUAACGGCUCACCAAGGCGACGAUACAUAGCCGACCUGAGAGGGUGAUCGGCCACACUGGGACUGAGACACGGCCCAGACUCUACGGGAGGCAGCAGUAGGGAAUCUUCGGCAAUGGGGGCAACCCUGACCGAGCAACGCCGCGUGAGUGAAGAAGGUUUUCGGAUCGUAAAGCUCUGUUGUAAGAGAAGAACGUGUGUGAGAGUGGAAAGUUCACACAGUGACGGUAACUUACCAGAAAGGGACGGCUAACUACGUGCCAGCAGCCGCGGUAAU